AACGAACGCUGGCGGCAUGCCUAACACAUGCAAGUCGAACGAGACUUUCGGGUCUAGUGGCGCACGGGUGCGUAACGCGUGGGAACCUGCCUUUAGGUUCGGAAUAACUCAGAGAAAUUUGAGCUAAUACCGGAUAAUGUCUUCGGACCAAAGAUUUAUCGCCUUUAGAUGGGCCCGCGUUGGAUUAGCUAGUUGGUGGGGUAAAGGCCUACCAAGGCGACGAUCCAUAGCUGGUCUGAGAGGAUGAUCAGCCACACUGGGACUGAGACACGGCCCAGACUCCUACGGGAGGCAGCAGUGGGGAAUAUUGGACAAUGGGCGAAAGCCUGAUCCAGCAAUGCCGCGUGAGUGAUGAAGGCCUUAGGGUUGUAAAGCUCUUUUACUCGGGACGAUAAUGACGGUACCGAGAGAAUAAGCCCCGGCUAACUCCGUGCCAGCAGCCGCGGUAAUGUGACUACUG
rnacentral:rRNA from 1 species